AACGAACGCUGGCGGCAGGCUUAACACAUGCAAGUCGAACGGCUGUAGCAAUACAGCAGUGGCAGACGGGUGAGUAACACGUGGGAACCUUCCUAGGGGUACGGAACAACUCAGGGAAACUUGAGCUAAUACCGUAUACGUCCGUAAGGAGAAAGAUUCAUCGCCCCUAGACGGGCCCGCGUCGGAUUAGGUAGUUGGUGGGGUAACGGCCUACCAAGCCUACGAUCCGUAGCUGAUCUGAGAGGAUGAUCAGCCACACUGGGACUGAGACACGGCCCAGACUCCUACGGGAGGCAGCAGUGGGGAAUCUUGGACAAUGGACGAAAGUCUGAUGCAGCGACGCCGCGUGUGGGAUGACUGCCCUCGGGUUGUAAA
rnacentral:rRNA from 1 species